UUUAAAAAUAAAAAAGCAGUUUUUUUGAAAAAUUCAUAACUUUUUUUUGGUUGGGUGAAAAAAUUUGAAUAAAUUAUGAGAGACGUUUUUGAUAGGGUAGAAAAGGAUGGUAAACUUUCAGCCAAAUCAAAAGUGGUCAAGGUCAAAAGUGGUCGAUUUGGCCGUAAGCUGGACG